rnacentral:tRNA from 1 species
AAUGAAGUGCCUGACAAAAGGACUAUUUUGAUAGAAUAGAUAAUGCAUGAUAUGCCUUCAUUA